AGUUCCAAGAGGGCUGUUGAUGCCAAUGCAUCCUCCAGCCUCAGAGGGGGCCUGCACAAAGAGGCUUUAUAAUUGAAGAAAGUUAACCCAGGAUCAGAGGACAGAAAGGAGAUAAUGCCUCGAGCUUAAUUCAACCUGCAUUUUAACAAGCUGGAUACACCCCACUGAGGCGAUUACAGAAGCAGCCAGUCCUGCCUUGCCUCCUCCUGCUGAGCCUCUCAUCUCUCCACCUGCAGGAGCUGUCCUGCCCUAAUUCCCAGGGCAGUCAGGUGGCAGGGCCCUGAGUCACCCUCCCUGAGGACUGACCUAGAACACGGAGUUCCAACACUGAUGGCCUGACUCCUUCUCUUUCAGCAGGAAGCAUGGAAUGCUCCUGGAGCACAGAGCCAGCUCUGGCUUUGCAUUUCCAGUUUGAUCCAUGGGCCCUUACCCCCACAUUAAUUACACCCAUAAUAUUUGAAGUUCUCUGCAA